UUUUUGUUAACAGGUUUUCUGCCAAUUUAAAGUGACAUGCAAGUGGAGUAAAAGAACUUUAAAACAUCUUAUUUUUAUCCUAAGCUAAAAUUAAUCAAUAGUAUCGAGCAUGCUUCUUGAGAAAUAAUAACGAACUAACAGAUCAUGGCUAUUACAACAUCAGUCUCUACUAACUGAAAGCAUACAAGGGCAGAAGCUUUAUAACUGAAUCUACUAUAGAAUAGGCAUGUCCGGUUAUACACAAACAAAUAACUACAUGACUCUAAUGAAAGAAGUACUCUACCGUAUAUAUGAGCAAGCAGAAAACUACAACGAAUUUAAAACUUCAACAUGCUUCAAUUUUUAUGCUACAAGAAUACUGUAUAUACGAUCAAGUAGACAACUACAAUGAGCUUAAAACUUCAACUCUUCAUUUCUUAUUCAUGCUUCAAUUUUCAUUCUACAAGAACCAGUGCAUCAAUUAUGUACCUGGUAUUUGGAAAGCAAAGAAGAGGAAGAAGUCAGUAAUGCGGCAGUAGCACAACACAGCAACAACAGGUUCAGCAACCACAGUAGUAGACCAGUAAAAACAGUGGUGGAAGACACUAUGAAUAGAUUAACUAAACAGAAAACUUAAGAAAACCCAGUAACAACUUCAAGAAACCCAUGAUAUAUCACACUUAAAAAACCAGUAAGACUCCAGAUGCACUCAUAGUUAAAGCAAAAGUGAGGCGGAGGCAAGAAAAGUAGUAUUUCUGCUUGUGAACACUCAAAGGAAUGAAAUGAAACUCUGAAGUAAAGGUCAGCUUAAAACUUUCUAAGAGGAACUAAAAGAAAAAUGAUCCCCCCUCUUUCAAUCAGCCUUAAUAUUUUAAGUUCUGGAAAUUUUUUAUCUCUCCAAAAUUCUUCCUGCUCUUCUAAGUGUCAAAUGACCCCUAUUUAUAUCCCCAAGCAAGACGCUCUCCCCCCCCCCCNNNNNNNNNNNNNNNNNNNNNNNNNNNNNNNNNNNNNNNNNNNNNNNNNNNNNNNNNNNNNNNNNNNNNNNNNNNNNNNNNNNNNNNNNNNNNNCCCCCCCCUUUUAGUAUUAUUCCCGACUCCUUUUUAUUAUUACCCUUUCUAAUUACCCCUACCCCAUUCAUUAAUUUCCAGCCCAAAAAUAUUCCUUUAUGUCUAUCUUUUUAUCCUUUUAUCAUUACUAACUAUUUCUAAUUCUCAAUCAACAAAAAGCAGUCAAAUAGAAACCCCACAGUCCCUCUUUUUGACUAAUACCUUAGUGGAAUACUCAUUGCUUAAUCCCCCCCCCCCCCNNNNNNNNNNNNNNNNNNNNNNNNNNNNNNNNNNNNNNNNNNNNNNNNNNNNNNNNNNNNNNNNNNNNNNNNNNNNNNNNNNNNNNNNNNNNNAAUACAACUAUAUCCUGUACCCCGUUACUUAUUAAACUAAUUUUAUAAGCUACUUUAUUAGUGUCAAACAACUGGCCAUUAACUAAACCAAUUCUGAACUUUCAGACUUCCCAAAAUACCCUUUGGUGCCUAAGAAUUUGCUAUAAUCUAACUGAACAACCCUAAAGCUUAGAAGUGAUCCUAGGUUCAAUUCACCACAUCCCCUAAAGUAAUUAAGCAAAUUCAAACAGACUCUAAAAUUAAGCUAGAUCAAACAUACAAGAUGAAUUAACUGGGAUCCAAACAUCUACAUACAUCGAGACCCUUUGAACUAUUACUACAAGAACAAUCUUAUAUAAGAAUCUGCUAUUGAUAUAUCUUCGAAUUUUCUCAAUUCGAACAGAAGAAGAUAGAAUCCAAACAUACUUAAACAUACAAGAUGACCUAACUGAUGAGGUUAUUUAGAAUGGUUCGUACAGUCAGUGGUGAUAAUCAACAACAAAGGGCAAUUCAAAUAAAGAUACCAUUUGAACACAGAACAAAACACAUAGAAAAAAGAAAAGAAGAAAUUAGAAAAGCAUACAUUUUUUCGGAUUUCCAACCAAAGCCAACUUAACUACAAAAUCUGAUUAAUAUAGUGAUGAAAAUUUUGACCAGAGAAAGGUACGAUGAGAAGGAAAAGACGAAGUUCAAGCAAACAAAAUCAAUACACAAUGAAACAUUAUUAAAUCUUAACGGGUAAAAAUAAUAAUGGGACAGAGAAUGAAGAAACUAAUCGACCAAACAUGAAUUUCAAUUAACUGUAAACAGGAUAGAAUCAACAACAAAUAUGAAUGGAAACUCAAAAAAAAAGAAAAAGGGGGUACCCGGAAUUAAACCUCAUGGACCCUGCUAUGCCGACCUUAACUUCGAUUUUUGGGGUCAAACGGACCUUAAUCGGAUGUUCUCGACUGAGAACACUCGACUAAGGUCAGUCGAGACCUCAAGUUCUUCCCCAAUCUAGACGAGUUCCUACUAGAGUACAGCUUCGUUCGACUUGGGCUUCGAGCGAUUCUUAUGAACUUCAAAUGGUAUUAAUGGUGGUUUUAGCAUGAGGGAGGUCAGGUGGCUGGCUAGUACGAAUUUGGGGUUGAUUGGCGUAGGUUUGGUUUUGCCUCGUAUCUUCAAUUGAAGAUUCGAGAAGAUGCAGCUUGAUUCGAGCCAAGGGAAUUAGAGAUUUGGGUUCAGGGUGUGAAGGGGGUUCGAUGGUGUUAAAAUGGUGGCCGGCAGCAUUGAUGCCGCCGGGUUUUAGGUGAAGGGAGCUCAUGGUGGCUGAGGUUUGGGCUUGGGUGUGUCUCUGAACAAGAGAGACGGUGAAUAGUGAGGAAGUGGGGGUUUGAUCUGGGGGCUGGGGUAGAAGAUAAGGUUAUAUAGUUGGGGGUGGAAUGAAUCAUGUCCGUUCAUUCAGAUGAGAUCAACGGUUUGGAUUACUUCACUUAUAUAAAACGGUGUCGUUUGGUUAAGUGGGGGACUAGGUGAACCGGGUCUAAAGGGAUCAGGUUGUGGGGAAGGGUUGAGGCCGUUGGAUCAACUGCCUCGAAGCAUAUGCAGAAGUUUAAUAACUGAAUCUACUAUAGAAUAGGCAUGCCCGGUUAUACACAAAGAAAUAACUACAUGACUCUAAUUAAAGAAGUAUUCUACUGUAUAUACGAGCAAGUAGACAACUACAAUGAUUUAAAACUUCAACUCUUCAUUGCUUAUUCAUGCUUCAAUUUUCAUUCUACAAGAACCAAUGUAUCAAUUGUGUACUUUGUAUUUGGAAAGCAAAAAAAGAGGAAGAAGUCAGUAGUGCAGCAGUAGCACAACACAGCAACAACAGGUUCAGCAACCACAGCAGUAGACCAGUAACAAACAGUGCAGGAAGACCCAAGGAAUAGAUUAACCAAACAGAAAACUUAAGAAACCCCACUAACAACUUCAAGAAACCCAAGAUAUAUCACAUUAGAAAAACCAUUAACACUCCAGAUGCACUCAGAGUUAAAGAAAAAGUGACGCGGAAGAAAGAAAAGUGAUCCCCCCCCCCCCUUUCAAUCAGCCUUAAUCUUUUAAGUUCUGGAAAUUUUUUAUCUCUCCAAAAUUCUUCCUGCUCUUCCAAGUGUCAAAUAACCCCUAUUUAUAUCCCAAGAAAGACCCACCCCCCCCCCCCCCUUUAAUUUCCAGCCACAAAAUAUUCCUCUCCAUGUCUAUCGUUUUUACCCUUUUAUCAUUACUGAACUAUUUCUAAUUCCCAAUCAACCAAAAGCAGUCAAAUAGAAACCCCACAAUUCCCCCCUUUUUGACUAAUACCUUAGUGGUAUAUCCAUACCGCUAUAUCUUGUACACGAUUACUUAUUAAACUAAUGUUAUAAGCUACUUUAUUAGUUCCAAACAACUGGCCAUUAACUUAACCAAUUCUAAACUUUCAGACUUCCAAAAAUACCCUUUGGUGCUUAAGAAUUUGCUGUAAUCUAACUGAACAACCCUAAAGCUUAGAAGUGAUCCUAGGUUCAAUUCACCACAGCCCCUAAAGUAAUUAAGCUAAUUCAAACAGACUCUAAAAUUAAGCUAGAUCAAACAUACAAGAUUAAUUAACUGGGAUCCAAACAUCUACACACAUCGAGAGCCUUUGAACUAUUACUACAAGAACAAUAUUAUAGAAGAAUCACUGACAUUGAAAUAACUUCGAAUUUUCUCAAUUCCAACAGAAGAAGAUAGAAUCCCAAACACACUUAAACAUACAAGAUGACCUAACUGAUAUGAUUAUUUAGAAUGGUUCGUACAGUCAGUGGUGAUAAUCAACAACAUAGGGUAAUUCAAAUAAAGAUACUAUUUGAACACAGAACCAAACACAUAGAAAAAGAAGAAAAACAGAAACUAGAAAAGACAUUUUUUCGGAUUUCCAACCAAACCCAACUUAACUACAAAAUCUUAUUAACAUAGUGAUGAAAAUUUUGACAAGAGAAAGGUCCGAUGUGAAGGAAAAGACGAAUAUCAAGCAAACAAAAUCAAUACACAAUGUAACAUUAUUAAAUCUGAACGGGUAAAAACAAUAAUAUGACAGAGAAUGAAGAAACUAAUCGACCAAACAUGAAUUACAAUUAACUGUAAACAGGAUAGAAUCAACAACAAAUAUGAAUGGAAACUCAAAAAAUAGAAAAAGGGGGUACCCGGAAUUAAACCUCACGGACCCUGCUCUGCCGACCUUGACUUCGAUUUUUGGGGUCAAACGCACCUUAAUCGGGUGUUCUCGACUGAGAACACUCGACUAAGGUCAAUCAAGAACUCAAGUUCUUCCCAAAUCCAGACGAGUUUUGAGUAGGCUUCAGCUUCGUUCGAUUUGGGCUUCGAGCGAUUCUUAUGAGCUUCAAACGGGAUUAAUGGUGUUUUAAGCAUGAGGGAGGUCAGGUGGAUGGCUGGUACGAAUUUGGGGUUGGUUGGCGUAGGUUUGGUUUUGGCUCUAAUCUUCGAUUGAAGAUUCAAGAAGAUGCAGCUUGAUUCGAGCUAAGGGAGCAGGGGAUUUGGGUUCAUGGUGUGAAGGGGGUUCGAUGGUGUUAAAAUUGUGGCCGACGACAUUUAUGCCGCUGGAUUUUAGGUGAAGGGAGAUCAUGGCGGCUAGGGCUUGGGCUUGAGUCCGUCUAUGAACGAGAGAGACGGUGAAUAGUGAGGAAAGGGGUUUGAUUUU
rnacentral:lncRNA from 1 species